rnacentral:rRNA from 1 species
GAUGAACGCUGGCGGCGUGCCUAAUACAUGCAAGUCGAGCGAACAGACGAGGAGCUUGCUCCUCUGACGUUAGCGGCGGACGGGUGAGUAACACGUGGAUAACCUACCUAUAAGACUGGGAUAACUUCGGGAAACCGGAGCUAAUACCGGAUAAUAUAUUGAACCGCAUGGUUCAAUAGUGAAAGACGGUUUUGCUGUCACUUAUAGAUGGAUCCGCGCCGCAUUAGCUAGUUGGUAAGGUAACGGCUUACCAAGGCAACGAUGCGUAGCCGACCUGAGAGGGUGAUCGGCCACACUGGAACUGAGACACGGUCAAGACUCCUACGGGAGGCAGCAGUAGGGAAUCUGCCGCAAUGGGCGAAAGCAUGACGGAGCAACGCCGCGUGAGUGAUGAAGGUCUUCGGAUCGUAAAACUCUGUUAUUAGGGAAGAACAAAUGUGUAAGUAACUAUGCACGUAUUGACGGUACCUAAUCAGAAAGCCACGGCUAACUACGUG